AGCGAACGCUGGCGGCAGGCCUAACACAUGCAAGUCGAGCGCCCCGCAAGGGGAGCGGCAGACGGGAGAGUAACACGUGGGAACAUGCCCUUCAGUUCGGAACAACCCAGGGAAACUUGGGCUAAUACCGAAUACGUCCGCAAGGAGAAAGAUUUAUCGGUGAAGAAUUGGCCCGAGUCCGAUUAGCUAGUUGGUGGGGUAAUGGCUCACCAAGGCGACGAUCGGUAGCUGGUCUGAGAGGAUGAUCAGCCUCACUGGGACUGAGACACGGCCCAGACUCCUACGGGAGGCAGCAGUGGGGAAUAUUGGACAAUGGGCGCAAGCCUGAUCCAGCCAUGCCGCGUGGGUGAUGAAGGCCCUAGGGUUGUAAAGCCCUUUCGGCGGGGAAGAUAAUGACGGUACCCGCAGAAGAAGCCCCGGCUAACUUCGUGCCAGCCGCCGCAGUAAUAC
rnacentral:rRNA from 1 species